GACGAACGCUGGCGGCGUGCUUAACACAUGCAAGUCGAACGGUAAGGCUCCAGCUUGCUGGGGUACACGAGUGGCGAACGGGUGAGUAACACGUGGGUGACCUGCCCUGCACUUCGGGAUAAGCCUGGGAAACUGGGUCUAAUACCGGAUAGGACCGCACCGUGAGGGUGUGGUGGAAAGUUUUUUCGGUGUGGGAUGGGCCCGCGGCCUAUCAGCUUGUUGGUUGGGUAAUGGCCUACCAAGGCGGCGACGGGUAGCCGGCCUGAGAGGGUGGACGGCCACAUUGGGACUGAGACACGGCCCAGACUCCUACGGGAGGCAGCAGUGGGGAAUAUUGCACAAUGGGCGGAAGCCUGAUGCAGCGACGCCGCGUGGGGGAUGACGGCCUUCGGGUUGUAAACUCCUUUCACCAUCGACGAAGGGUUUCUGACGGUAGAUGGAGAAGAAGCACCGGCUAACUACGUG
rnacentral:rRNA from 1 species